UUUUUUGUUGCUACUUUUCACUCAUGUAUGUUCUCAACAAUGUGGGCUCACGUAUGUUAACUAAAAAUUUCCGCAACAACGUGCGGGGCAUCAUCUAGUUCCUUUAACUUGUAGGCACGGCAAUAUCACCAGCCACCAGACGGAUUACAUCCUCCAGAAAGGAGUCAAGCCACACAUAAUUUUUGGCUUGAGACCCACAAGACCCUAAAGCGGCUAAAGCAUGAGCAGGCCGAGGACAAAACAUGACCGAAGAAUACACGAAGAACAUAUGGAAAAUAUAUUUGGCUUCUCUGAACAAUUGAACAUCGCUCCCAGCGGCGCCACAUCAUUAUCCCACGUAGAUAGUGCCCUUCACAGGACCAAUCUGUCGAGAAAACAAUGUUGAUAAACAUCUUCGACAUGAAAAGGACAUGUACUUGAGUCUCACAUGUAUCAUUUUUUUUGUUCC
rnacentral:lncRNA from 1 species